GGGUGCGUGGUUCAACGGUAGAAUAUUCGGCUCCAGCCCGAAAGACGGGGGUUCAAUUCCCUCCGCGCCCA
rnacentral:tRNA from 1 species